rnacentral:tRNA from 1 species
UAGGAUGUAGCUGAGUGGAAAAGCACUUGCCUAGCAUGUAGAAGGCCCUGGGUUGGAUCCCAGCACCACAA